rnacentral:lncRNA from 1 species
UUGAAAGAGCUUCAUGAUGAUAUAAGAUUUUUAGAAUUCUGGAAAAUUCUGGAAAUUUGGCUUUGAAGUUCAUACUGUUCAUCUUCAUCUUCGUGAGGAAGAUGAAGAUCUUCAUCGUAGCGACGACAUAGCGUCCAUUUAGUGUCCACUCUGGGUUCGCUAGGGUUUUUGCCCAAAACGGCAUCGUUUCAUUGCCUGGCGCGCUAAUUCAAAUUUGUACACGGUUCGAAU